UUUGCUCUGGAGUUCAGAGUUAUUAAAUGUAAAAUCGAGUCAAAGUUAAAUUCUCAGUAGCCCAUCGUAACUGUUGUCGUUCUUAGUGUUUCCUUAGCUUCAUCUAACCAUUAAAUAAUUCAUGCCUACAGUGUAUCGCAAAAUUUUUUGCGGCAAUUACUUUUAAUUUUUAUAUAAGGGACACACAAUGUCUAAUGCAAAAUCAACAGGUCUAGUUAAAUGGUUCAACGAAGAGAAAGGCUUUGGCUUUAUUACUCAAAGCAAUGGCGGUGCUGACGUAUUCGUUCACUUCCGUGCUAUCGCUUCUGAAGGCUUCAAAACUUUGACUGACGGUCAAAAAGUAGAAUUUGACGUAGAACAAGGUCAAAAAGGUCUUCAAGCUGCAAACGUUGUAGCUCUAUAAGAUUUUGAAUAACGCAGAUAGUUUCGGCUAUCUGCGUUAAU
rfam:Vibrio sp. CECT 9027 strain CECT 9027T genome assembly, contig: 0001